GAACCUCCACACUCAGUGAGAAUGGUAAGAAUGGAAAGUACUGACUAAACAGAAACACCGGACAACAGUACAUGAGACUCUCAGUGCUUAUUUGUUGCAUUUGUAUGUUACUGUCUGGGAAGAUUUUAAGGGUGGACCUCCUCUUAUCCCUCUGCUUCAACUACAGGCAGGAAAGUGCUUCAGCAAAAGAAAAAAGAAGGUAACAAUGAAGAUCUUUGAAAAAUCACUUAUCAGACUACAAGUCCCCUGGUGUGUUGAACAAGGAAGAAAUCAUGGAGAGUACGCUGCAUGUAUCAGUGAUGAGGUACCCAGAUCUGAAUCCUGUACUUUGCAGUGACAAGAACAGCAGAAGAUGACUGCUCUCUGUGAAACCACAUUCUGUGCACCCUCUUGCACUAUCUAUUGCCUACAAUUUCUUAUAAUUUUAAAUUUUAUUGAAACAAUGAGUAGUCUCACUUCUAAUCAUUAUUUAAAAUUACAGUAGUGCUGAAUGUUUUCACAGUGUUGAAUGCCUUCUCAUAAAAAGCUAUUCAAGAACCAAAUCAUAGUUAUCUGGCAUUGCUUUCUACCUGUCAGCCACUUCCCUUUGAACCAGGCAGCUCUCCUCUAGAAUAAAAUAAACUAAUUUUCAUUAUAUGUCA
rnacentral:lncRNA from 1 species